UCACUGGGAUGACAGGUCUGUGCCACUGUGUCCAGCAUAUACUGCGUCUAUAAGAAAGGACCUCAUCCUUUCAGGGUCUUGUCUCUCAAACAGCACUGCAACUGAGUCUUCAGUAAGCCAUUCCACCUUUCAGUUAGUUUGGCUACUUUUGGGUGAUGGAUAUUAAUUGCAUGACUGUGAGCCCAUUGCUGUGAAAUGAGUUCUUUGAUCAGAAGUAAUGCUAUUAGCAACCCCGUGAAGCUGGCUAAACACUGUGUGAGCCCAUGGAUGGUGGUCCUAGCAGAAGUAUCACCAGCAAGAAAAGCAAGUCCAAUUUCAGAACAUAUGCCUACCACAAGAAGGAUAGAUCUGUGCCUCAUGGAAAAGAGGUGCAAUGAAAUAAAUUUACCACAGAUGGCUUGCUGGUCUCCUUGGUGAAUAAUGCCAAAUAGAACCUUGUGUGGAUCUCUGCUUUUGGCAGAUUAGGUGUACUCAAUCUGCCACUCAGUAGUGUGUGGGAAGCCAACCCUGAGCUAUUUAGCAUCUUCACUCAACCUUGAGCCAAGGCUUGGCAUUCCAAGUUAUUUUGUGGCUCCUCCCACUUAAUGGAUUAUGCAAUGCCCAUGACCUCAGUCUUUGCUAGGCUAGGGAGAUUGCUCUUGUAGCUCCAAAAUUGGGAGUAACCCAUUGGGCCUGGACAGACCACCUCCUACCUUAUUUGGCAAAAGAACAUUAUGUAGAAAACCUUUGAUAUUUCCCCCAUAUAAAUAAACACAACUUGGG
rnacentral:lncRNA from 1 species